UACGUAGGGGGCUAGCGUUGUCCGGAAUCAUUGGGCGUAAGAGCGUGUAGGCGGUCCGGUAAGUCCGCUGUGAAAGUCGGGGGCUCAACCCUCGAAUGCCGGUGGAUACUGUCGGGCUAGAGUGCGGAAGAGGCGAGUGGAAUUCCUGGUGUAGCGGUGAAAUGCGCAGAUAUCAGGAGGAACACCUAUUGCGAAGGCAGCUCGCUGGGACGUAACUGACGCUGAGAACGCGAAAGCGUGGGGAGCAAACAGG
rnacentral:rRNA from 1 species